GUCGGGCAUGGUGGCGCAUGCCUGUGGUCCCAUCUACUCGGGAGGCUGAGGCAGGAGGGUUGCUUGAGCCCGGGAGGCAGAGGCUGCAGUGAGCUGAGAUCGUGCCACUGCACUCUAGCCUGGGCAACAGAGGGAAACCCUGUCUCAA
rnacentral:SRP_RNA from 1 species